rnacentral:rRNA from 1 species
AGCGAACGCUGGCGGCAGGCCUAACACAUGCAAGUCGAACGAACCUUUCGGGGUUAGUGGCGGACGGGUGAGUAACACGUGGGAACGUGCCUUUAGGUUCGGAAUAACUCAGGGAAACUUGUGCUAAUACCGAAUGUGCCCUUCGGGGGAAAGAUUAAUCGCCUUUAGAGCGGCCCGCGUCUGAUUAGCUAGUUGGUUGAGGUAAUGGCUCACCAAGGCGACGAUCAGUAGCUGGUCUGAGAGGAUGAUCAGCCACAUUGGGACUGAGACACGGCCCAAACUCCUACGGGAGGCAGCAGUGGGGAAUCUUGCGCAAUGGGCGAAAGCCUGACGCAGCCAGGCCGCGUGAAUGAUGAAGGUCUUAGGAUUGUAAAAUUCUUUCACCGGGGACGAUAAGGACGGUACCCGGAGAAGAAGCCCCGGCUAACUUCGU